UACGUAGGGUGCAAGCGUUAAUCGGAAUUACUGGGCGUAAAGCGUGCGCAGGCGGUUUUGUAAGUCUGACGUGAAAUCCCCGGGCUCAACCUGGGAAUUGCGUUGGAGACUGCAAGGCUGGAGUCUGGCAGAGGGGGGUAGAAUUCCACGUGUAGCAGUGAAAUGCGUAGAGAUCGGGAGGAACACCAGUGGCGAAGGCGGCCUUCUGGACCAAUACUGACGCUCAUGCACGAAAGCGUGGGGAGCAAACAGG
rnacentral:rRNA from 1 species